AUUCGCAGUGCAGGUGUCAAGCGCCGCAGACUUGCUGCUCGCGCGGUGGGGCGGAGGCUCCCUGUGGCACCUGCCCCGCUGUCCGCUCUUCGCUUUUUCCCCGCUUGGGUCUCGGCGCGGACCGUGUGGACGCCCCGCCCCCGCGGGCCCAGCACCUGCACGGAGAGGAGCCGCGGCCCUGCGGAGCGAGCCUGCGGGAUCCCGGUCGCAGCGCUGAGCUUCCGUCCCCCGCUGAGCCCGCUCUGCCCGUGGCGCGCCGCCGACGGGGCUGCGCUGAGCAUGCGGGUCGGAGGGCGCUCGGGAGCUGUCCAGGGGCACUCGUGACCCCACAGUGCAGGGAGGCCCCGGCCCCCAGUCGGGCUGGAGCCGCCAGGCAGGAGCCAGUAGUGAACUUUUCAGUUUUAAAAGCUUGUCAUUAGAUACAAACAUGAGUAAAAGUUAAACUUCAUUUUAUUAAAUUCGUUUUACCCUUUUGUCUUUUUGACGAGGCCUUCCUAUGUUGGCCAGGCUGGUCUCAAACUCCUGGGCUCAAGCGAUCCGCCCGCCCGCCUCUGCCUCCCAGAGUGCUGGGGUUACAGGUCGGGGCCGCCUUGCUUGGCUUCUGUAUUAUAUCUUUUUUUUAAAAGAUCUUUUCCUUAUUGUUCCACUGCCAUGCUCCUGCCGCCGUUCACAGCUAUUGCCACUGGGCGGUGGGAACGCCGGGAGAACAGGGCUCAGCCCAGCUGCUAGCAGUGCCCUGGCCCUGGCGGCUUGAACUUGGCAGUCCUGCGGAAGUCACACGGGGGAAACCCGCAAAUGCUACAAAUCAGUGCUGGAGCGGUGGUUUUGUUGAUUGCUUAAACUGAAGAAAGUGAUAGAGAAAAUGUUGAUGAUAAAGAUUAAACUUAAAACUGUCAUGUCGACAACCGUUACAUUGCAAAUAGCACAUAAAAUUUAAGAGAAUAUUUUUUAAAUGAUUCAAAAGUGUCGAAUUCAGCAAAGACAAGUUAUUGACUAAUGGGUGAAGUUGUGACAUCAGUGGGGCUAGUGCUGAAAGAAGUUUAAUGAUUAGGCCGGUCACGGUGGCUCACGCCUGUAAUCCCAGCACUUUGGGAGGCCAAGGCGGGCGGAUCACCUGAGGUCGGGAGUUCGAGACCAGCCUGGCCAGCAUGGAGAAACCUCGUCUCUACUAAAAAUACAAAACUAGCCGGGCUUGGUGGCGCAUGGCUUGCCUGUAAGCCCAGCUACUCGGGAGGCUGAGGCAGGAGAAUGGCUUGAACCCGGGAGGCGGAGUCUGCGGUGAGCCGAGAUUUUGCCAUUGCACUCCAGCCUGGGCCACAAGAGCAAAACUCCCUCUCAAAAAAAAAAAAAAAAGUUUAAUAAUUAUAAUCUGAGGGUAAGAAAUAGUUUAACAGUGGACGACAUAUCAAAUUUAGUAUGAGAAGAGUGAAAGUUACUUCAAGUUGUGAAAUCAUGAUUGAACCGUAAACAUUAGUUGGUUGAAAUGAAAAUUUUUGUUCACAGAAACCUGUGUGCAAACGUUUAUAGCAGCUUUAUUUAUAAUAGCCCCAAACUUGAAACAAUCCGAAUGAUUCUGACCCCCAACUGUCUGUAGCUUUCUGUAGGAUACGCAGCACUUUUCUGUAUACAGUGCUUGAUGCAUCUUGAGUCUUCAGUUUUAUGCAGGAAAAAUCCAAGUUAACAUCUGGCUUAACCAAGAAGACAAACCACUAGGAGGACUUAGUUACAGCAUCAGAAAGCAAUGGAUUAAUAUUCAGAAUGAAAAAAGGAAUGCUUGUAAAUCGACGAGAAAAAGACCGACAAUAGACAAAUGUGCAGAAGAUAAGAAUAGGCAAUUCACAGCCUGGCCAUCAUAGUGAAACCCCGUUUCUACUAAAAAUACGAAAACAGUGGGGCGUGGUGGUUCAUGCCUGUCAUCCCAGCUACUCAGGAGGCUGAGGCAGGAGAAUCGCUUGAACCCAGGAGGCAGAGGUUGGAGGGAGCGGAAAUCACACCACUGAACUCAG
rnacentral:lncRNA from 1 species